GACGAACGCUGGCGGCGUGCUUAACACAUGCAAGUCGAACGGAGAAUUUAUUUCGGUAAAUUCUUAGUGGCGAACGGGUGAGUAACGCGUGGGCAACCUGCCCUUCAGAUGGGGACAACAUCCCGAAAGGGGUGCUAAUACCGAAUACGAUCACGCUGCCGCAUGGCGGUGUGAUGAAAGAUGGCCUCUAUUUAUAAACUAUCGCUGAAGGAUGGGCCUGCGUCUGAUUAGCUAGUUGGUGGGGUAACGGCCUACCAAGGCGAUGAUCAGUAGCCGGUCUGAGAGGAUGAACGGCAACAUUGGGAAUGAGACACGGCCCAAACUCCUACGGGAGGUAGCAGUGGGGAAUAUUCCGCAAUGGACGAAAGUCUGACGGAGCAACGCCGCGUGAGUGAUGAAGGUUUUCGGACUGUAAAACUCUGUUGUUUAGGACGAAAGUGCCUGUUGCAAAUAGUUGCAGGUAUUGACGGUACUGAACGAGGAAGCCACGGCUAACUACGUGCCAGCCGCCGCAGUAA
rnacentral:rRNA from 1 species